rnacentral:rRNA from 1 species
CCUACGGGUGACUGCAGUGGGGGAUAUUGCACAAUGGGGGAAACCCUGAUGCAGCGACGCCGCGUGAGGGAAGAAGGAUUUCGGGAUGGAAAGCUCUAUCAGCAGGGAAGAAAAUGACGGUAGGUGACCAAGAAGCCCCGGCAAACGACGUGCCAGCAGCCGCGGUAAUACGUAGGGGGCAAGCGUUAUCCGGAUUUACUGGGUGUAAAGGGAGCGGAGGCGGUUAUGGAAGUCUGGCUUGACAGCCCGGGGCCCCACCCCGGGCCUGCUUUGGAAACUGUGUUACUGGAGUGCAGGAGGGGUAGGCGGAAUUCCUGGUGUAGCGGUGACAUGCGUAGAUAUCAGGAGGAACUCCGGCUGCGAAGGCGGCCUGCUGGACUGCACCUGACGUUGAGGCUCGAAAGCGUGGGUAGCAAACAGGAUUAGAUACCCCUGUAGUC